CUGGACAAUUACCCAACACUUUCUUAAUCUUCUGAGUGCAGUUCUCUAGAAGAGGAGUUAUUAAUUGAUGGCUUUGUGGGGAGGGAAAGAUCUAUUAACCUGCUGAAACUGUUCUUUGGCUAUAACUGUACUUGGAAAGGAAAGAAGAAAAUGGAAUGUUGUGACGGGGACACAGCUGGUCCUAAGAAGGCAUCAUACUCAGACAAGCAUGUGAGAUUGCAUUCAUUCCUGUUGGUGAUAAUGAGAGUUUGAAGACCCUAGGAAGAAUAAACUAGAGGGAUGUCAAGACAAGCAAAAAAUCCUUUGUGGAAGGAAAAUACUUUGACUUAAAGAAUCUGGAAACAUUUUUUUACCCCCUGUAUUAGCAUGUCUUUUUGAAACAAAACAAAACAAAACAAAACAAAACAAAACAAAACAAGGCAGGAAGAAAUGGAACAAGUUUGAUCUAUUAAAUGUGUUUACAUUGA